AAUAAGUGCAAUUUUGCACUGUUUAUGUCCAACGUUUGACCGUCCAUCUUAUUUGAAAACUUUUUUAAUGAUUAGUAUUUUUGUUAUUAUUAGAUGAUAAAACAUGAAUAAUACUUUAUGUGUGACUAUUUUUUUUAGUUUUUCAUAAAUUUUUCAAAUAAAACGAAAGAUCAAACGUUAAACACGGAUAUCUAUGUUUGCGCUUAUU
rfam:Oryza punctata chromosome 6, whole genome shotgun sequence.